GGGAAAUAACUGAAUGUAUGAUGCUCUGCCUGGUGGCACCCUACUUUAAUGAGAAUCUUAGCUAAGUUGGAAACUUUAAUAGAAAUAGAUAUAUCUUGUUAGUCAGCACUGCAUAAUCUAUUAUAACCUAAAAUGCAAACUCACUGUCUCAACUACUGCAUGUCAUGACUACUUAGACCAGCUGUUACUGUACAAAAUGUAUGUCUCUCACUUAAGCAUAGUCAGCCAUAACCAUGUCAAUGUCUAGAUAUGGAAGCGAUGACACGCGACAUAAAUAUUAACCCUAAGCUACUGUUACUAAUCGACAAUGUAAUUCAAAAAGACAGACGUAG